UGGGGAAUAUUGGACAAUGGGCGAAAGCCUGAUCCAGCCAUGCCGCGUGUGUGAAGAAGGUCUUCGGAUUGUAAAGUACUUUAAGCGAGGAGGAGGCUACUAGCACUAAUACUACUGGUUAGUGGACGUUACUCGCAGAACAAGCACCGGCUAACUCUGUGCCAGCAGCCGCGGUAAUACAGAGGGUGCGAGCGUUUAUCGGAUUUACUGGGCGUAAAGCGUGCGUAGGCGGCUGAUUAAGUCGGAUGUGAAAUCCCUGAGCUUAACUUAUGAAUUGCAUUCGAUACUGGUCAGCUAGAGUAUGGGAGAGGAUGGUAGAAGUACAGGUCAAGAGGUGAAAAGCGUAGAGAUCUGGAGGGAGAACGAUGGCGGAGGCAGCCAUCUGGCCUAAUACUGUCGCAGAGGUACGAAAGAAUGGUGAGCAAACAAG
rnacentral:rRNA from 1 species